rnacentral:misc_RNA from 1 species
GUGAAUCAUCAAAUUUUUGAACGCAAAUUGCACUCUCUUCGGAGAGUAUGCCUGUUUGAGGGUCAGCCUAAAAAAAAAUCGCAAUAUUCGCUGUUUCGCGUUUACAUUCGUCGGAAAUUGGGUAAUCUUAACCCUUUGGGUUUUAAGGGGCUUAAAUUUUUUUUUACGAUUCAACAACCGUUCUUAAGUUUUACUUUUUAUCCGUUUAAG